CAGUAGCCGCGGUAAUACAGAGGGUGCAAGCGUUAAUCGGAAUUACUGGGCGUAAAGCGCGCGUAGGUGGUUUGUUAAGUUGGAUGUGAAAUCCCCGGGCUCAACCUGGGAACUGCAUCCAAAACUGGCAAGCUAGAGUAUGGUAGAGGGUGGUGGAAUUUCCUGUGUAGCGGUGAAAUGCGUAGAUAUAGGAAGGAACACCAGUGGCGAAGGCGACCACCUGGACUGAUACUGACACUGAGGUGCGAAAGCGUGGGGAGCAAACAGGAUUAGAUACCCCCGUAGUCCCUGUCUCUUAUAA
rnacentral:rRNA from 1 species